rnacentral:tRNA from 1 species
GGCAGCGUGGCCGAGUGGUCUAAGGCGCUGGUUUUAGGCACCAGUUCGAAAGAGCGUGGGUUCGAAUCCCACCGCUGUCA